rnacentral:tRNA from 1 species
CUGGAGGUGGCUCAGUGGUUAAGAGCACUGACUGCUCUUCCAGAGGUCCUGAGUUCAAUUCCCAGCAACCACA